UCGAGCGGUAACAGGUCCAGCUUGCUGGAUGCUGACGAGCGGCGGACGGGUGAGUAACGCAUAGGAAUCUACCCGGUAGUGGGGGAUAACCUGGGGAAACCCAGGCUAAUACCGCAUACGUCCUACGGGAGAAAGGGGGCUUCGGCUCCCGCUAUUGGAUGAGCCUAUGCCGGAUUAGCUGGUUGGUGAGGUAAUGGCUCACCAAGGCGACGAUCCGUAGCUGGUCUGAGAGGAUGAUCAGCCACAUCGGGACUGAGACACGGCCCGAACUCCUACGGGAGGCAGCAGUGGGGAAUAUUGGACAAUGGGGGCAACCCUGAUCCAGCCAUGCCGCGUGUGUGAAGAAGGCCCUCGGGUUGUAAAGCACUUUCAGCGAGGAAGAACGCCUGUCGGUUAAUACCCGGCAGGAAAGACAUCACUCGCAGAAGAAGCACCGGCUAACUCCGUGCCAGCAGCCGCGGUAAUACGGAGGGUGCAAGCGUUAAUCGGAAUUACUGGGCGUAAAGCGCGCGUAGGUGGCUUGAUAAGCCGGUUGUGAAAGCCCCGGGCUCAACCUGGGAACGGCAUCCGGAACUAUUAGGCUAGAGUGCAGGAGAGGAAGGUAGAAUUCCCGGUGUAGCGGUGAAAUGCGUAGAGAUCGGGAGGAAUACCAGUGGCGAAGGCGGCCUUCUGGACUGACACUGACACUGAGGUGCGAAAGCGUGGGUAGCAAACAGGAUUAGAUACCCUGGUAGUCCACGCCGUAAACGAUGUCGACCAGCCGUUGGGUGCCUAGCGCACUUUGUGGCGAAGUUAACGCG
rnacentral:rRNA from 1 species